UUGCAAUGAGAGUUGUACUAAGGUAGCAUAGUAAGUAGCCCUUUAAUUGGGGGAUGGAAUGAAUGGUAUGUCAUGGAGAUACUGUCUUUAGUGUAAUUUGAUGAAAUUUUCUUUUAAGUGAAAAGACUUAAAUAUUUGUAAAAGAAGAGAAGACCCUAUCGAGCUUAAUUAGAAAACAAAAUUGAAGAUAGUAUCUGAGGUUUUGUAUUUUGAAGUUUUGUCGGGAGGACAGAAGACUAAAAGGAACGUCUUUUUCUUGAAUAUAGAACCCUUUAUGACGGGGAAAAAGCAGAAGUUACCGUAGGGAUAACAGCGUAAUAUCUUUCUGAGAGAUCGUAUUGAGGAAAGAGUUUGCGACCUCGAUGUUGGAUUAUA
rnacentral:rRNA from 1 species